rnacentral:rRNA from 1 species
UGAGGACAACUCGAACUUGNGGGGGAUAGCCGGGCCCAACGGCCGGGUAAUACCGCA